rnacentral:rRNA from 1 species
GAUGAACGCUGGCGGCGUGCUUAACACAUGCAAGUCGAACGAGAAAUGUAGACGGAAACCUUCGGGCGGAAGCCUUCAUUUCGAGUGGCGGACGGGUGAGUAACGCGUGGGUAACCUGCCUCAUACAGGGGGAUAACAGUUGGAAACGACUGUUAAUACCGCAUAAGACCACAGCAUCGCAUGAUGCGGGGGUAAAAACUCCGGUGGUAUGAGAUGGACCCGCGUUCGAUUAGCCAGUUGGCGGGGUAACGGCCCACCAAAGCGACGAUCGAUAGCCGAUCUGAGAGGAUGACCGGCCACAUUGGGACUGAGACACGGCCCAAACUCCUACGGGAGGCAGCAGUGGGGAAUAUUGCACAAUGGGGGAAACCCUGAUGCAGCGACGCCGCGUGAGUGAAGAAGUACUUCGGUAUGUAAAGCUCUAUUAGCAGGGAAGAAAAUGACGGUACCUGAGUAAGAAGCCCCGGCUAACUACGUG